rnacentral:rRNA from 1 species
GCUGGCGGCGUGCUUAACACAUGCAAGUCGAACGGAAAGGCCCUGCUUUUGUGGGGUGCUCGAGUGGCGAACGGGUGAGUAACACGUGAGUAACCUGCCCUUGACUUUGGGAUAACUUCAGGAAACUGGGGCUAAUACCGGAUAGGAGCUCCUGCUGCAUGGUGGGGGUUGGAAAGUUUCGGCGGUUGGGGAUGGACUCGCGGCUUAUCAGCUUGUUGGUGGGGUAGUGGCUUACCAAGGCUUUGACGGGUAGCCGGCCUGAGAGGGUGACCGGCCACAUUGGGACUGAGAUACGGCCCAGACUCCUACGGGAGGCAGCAGUGGGGAAUAUUGCACAAUGGGCGGAAGCCUGAUGCAGCAACGCCGCGUGCGGGAUGACGGCCUUCGGGUUGUAAACCGCUUUCGCCUGUGACGAAGCGUGAGUGACGGUAAUGGGUAAAGAAGCACCGGCUAACUACGUGCCAGCAGCCGCGGUGAUACGUAGGGUGCGAGCGUUGUCCGGAUUUAUUGGGCGUAAAGGGCUCGUAGGUGGUUGAUCGCGUCGGAAGUGUAAUCUUGGGGCUUAACCCUGAGCGUGCUUUCGAUACGGGUUGACUUGAGGAAGGUAGGGGAGAAUGGAAUUCCUGGUGGAGCGGUGGAAUGCGCAGAUAUCAGGAGGAACACCAGUGGCGAAGGCGAUUCUCUGGGCCUUUCCUGACGCUGAGGAGCGAAAGCGUGGGGAGCGAACAGGCUUAGAUACCCUGGUAGUCCACGCUGUAAACGGUGGGUACUAGGUGUGGGGUCCAUUCCACGGGUUCCGUGCCGUAGCUAACGCUUUAAGUACCCCGCCUGGGGAGUACGGCCGCAAGGCUAAAACUCAAAGGAAUUGACGGGGCCCCGCACAAGCGGCGGAGCAUGCGGAUUAAUUCGAUGCAACGCGUAGAACCUUACCUGGGUUUGACAUGGAUCGGGAGUGCUCAGAGAUGGGUGUGCCUCUUUUGGGGUCGGUUCACAGGUGGUGCAUGGCUGUCGUCAGCUCGUGUCGUGAGAUGUUGGGUUAAGUCCCGCAACGAGCGCAACCCUUGUUCACUGUUGCCAGCACGUUAUGGUGGGGACUCAGUGGAGACCGCCGGGGUCAACUCGGAGGAAGGUGGGGAUGACGUCAAGUCAUCAUGCCCCUUAUGUCCAGGGCUUCACGCAUGCUACAAUGGCUGGUACAGAGAGUGGCGAGCCUGUGAGGGUGAGCGAAUCUCGGAAAGCCGGUCUCAGUUCGGAUUGGGGUCUGCAACUCGACCUCAUGAAGUCGGAGUCGCUAGUAAUCGCAGAUCAGCAACGCUGCGGUGAAUACGUUCCCGGGGCUUGUACACACCGCCCGUCAAGUCAUGAAAGUUGGUAACACCCGAAGCCGGUGACCUAACCGUUGUGGGGGAGCCGUCGAAGGUGGGACUGGUGA